rnacentral:rRNA from 1 species
AGUUCCGUAGGUGGGGCUGCGGAUCCCUUGUCGAUAGGCGGAGGAAGAAUCCGAACUCUUUUGUGUUUUAGUGGCCUCUCAGAGAAAACAAGCAAAUAAGUUAAAACUUUCAACAACGGAUCUCUUGGUUCUGGCAUCGAUGAAGAACGCAGCGAAAUGCGAUAAGUAAUGUGAAUUGCAGAAUUCAGUGAAUCAUCGAAUCUUUGAACGCACAUUGCGCCCGCCAGUACUCUGGCGGGCAUGCCUGUUCGAGCGUCAUUUCAACCCUCAAGCCCUGCUUGGUGUUGGGGUCCUACGGCUGCCGUAGGCCCUGAAAGCUAGUGGCGGGCUCGCUAUAACUCCGAGCGUAGUAGUAAAAUAUCUCGCUAGGGAAGGUGUCGCGGGGUUCCGGCCCGUGAAAGCCCAUCUUUUACACAAGGUUGACCUCGGAUCAGGUAGGAAUACCCGCUGAACUUAAGCAUAUCAUAGGCCGGAAGGAACAU